GACGAACGCUGGCGGCGUGCUUUACACAUGCAAGUCGAACGGUGAAGGUGGAGCUUGCUCCGCCGGAUCAGUGGCGAACGGGUGAGUAACACGUGGGCAACCUGCCCCUAACUUUGGGAUAACUACUCGAAAGAGUAGCUAAUACCGGAUAUGAAGUCUGUAGGCAUCUAUGGAUUUGGAAAGUUUUUCGGUUAGGGAUGGGCCCGCGGCCUAUCAGCUUGUUGGUGAGGUAGUGGCUCACCAAGGCGACGACGGGUAGCCGGCCUGAGAGGGCGACCGGCCACACUGGGACUGAGACACGGCCCAGACUCCUACGGGAGGCGGCAGUGGGGAAUAUUGCGCAAUGGGCGAAAGCCUGACGCAGCAACGCCGCGUGCGGGAUGAAGGCCUUCGGGUUGUAAACCGCUUUCAGCAGGGAAGAAGCGAAAGUGACGGUACCUGCAGAAGAAGCACCGUCUAACUACGUGCCAGCCGCCGCCGUAA
rnacentral:rRNA from 1 species